GCGGGGGUCCCCAAGUCAGGACAAAGGGGCAGGAUAUUUAAUCCUGUGGCGUAGGCCUUCGUGGGUUCAAAUCCCACCCCCCGCA
rnacentral:tRNA from 1 species